AACAUGAGAGUUUGAUCCUGGCUCAGAACGAACGCUGGCGGCACGCCUAACACAUGCAAGUCGAACGAGGGCAUUCUUUCGGGGAUGUUCCUAGUGGCGGACGGGUGAGUAACGCGUGGGAAUCUGCCUGAUAGUGGGGGAUAACUGUUGGAAACGACAGCUAAUACCG
rnacentral:rRNA from 1 species